rnacentral:rRNA from 1 species
UUAAGCUAUAAAGAGCGCAGGGUGGAUGCCUUGGCACUAAGAGCCGAUGAAAGACGUGAUAAGCUGCGAAAAGCUUCGGGGAGGAGCAAAUAUCCUUUGAUCCGGAGAUAUCUGAAUGGGGAAACCCGGCUGAGCAAACCUCAGUCACUGCAUGGUGAAUCCAUAGCCAUGCAGAGGGAACCCGGUGAACUGAAACAUCUAAGUAGCCGGAGGAAGAGAAAGAAACAUCGAUUCCCAAAGUAGCGGCGAGCGAAAUGGGAAGAGCCCAAACCAGCGUGCGUGCAUGCUGGGGUUAAGGACUGCAAACGUGAACCGAUUUGUUAGUGGAACUGUCUGGGAAGUCAGGCCAUAGAGGGUGAAAGCCCCGUACACGAAAACAAUAGGAAGCAGCAGGAUCCAGAGUACCACGAGACACGAGAAACCUUGUGGGAAGUCGGAGGGACCACCCUCCAAGGCUAAAUACUCCUUAGUGACCGAUAGCGCAUAGUACUGUGAAGGAAAGGUGAAAAGGACCCCGGGAGGGGAGUGAAAAAGAACCUGAAACCCUGUGUUUACAAGCUGUGGAAGCACGUUAAGGUGCGACCGCGUACUUUUUGUAGAACGGUCCGGCGAGUUGCCGGUACUGGCAAGGUUAAGAGCUGAAGGCUCGGAGCCGAAGGGAAACCAAGUCUCAAAUGGGCGUCAAGUCAGUACAGGCAGACCCGAAACCGGGUGACCUAUCCAUGUCCAGGUUGAAGCGGAAGUAAAAUUCCGUGGAGGACCGGAUCCACAUCCGUUGAAAAGGGUGGGAAUGAGGUGUGGAUAGGGGAGAAAUUCCAAUCGAACCCGGAGAUAGCUGGUUCUCCUCGAAAUAGCUUUAGGGCUAGCCUCAUAUUAGUUUAGCGGAGGUAGAGCACUGAAUUCCUAAGGGGGCGUCAAAGCUUACCAAGGGAUAUCAAACUCCGAAUGCCGCAUAAAUGAUGUAUGGGAGUCAGACUGCACGAGAUAAGUUGGGUAGUCAAAAGGGAAAGAGCCCAGACCUACAGCUAAGGUCCCAAAGUGUGUGUUAAGUGGAAAAGGAUGUGGGAUUUCAAAGACAACUAGGAUGUUGGCUCAGAAGCAGCCACACAUUCAAAGAGUGCGUAAUAGCUCACUAGUCGAGAGGUCCUGCGCCGAAAAUGUCCGGGGCUGAAACACAACACCGAAGCUUAGGAAUGUAUGUAAGUACAUUGGUAGAGGAGCAUUCUCAGGACGGAGAAGCGGUACCGAUAAGGAGCCGUGGAGUGCUGAGAAGAGAGAAUGCCGGAAUGAGUAGCGAGAUGGAGGUGGGAAUCCUCCAGGCCGAAUAUCCAAGGUUUCCAGAGUAAAGCUGAUCUGCUCUGGGUAAGUCGGGGCCUAAGGCGAGGCUGAGAGGCGUAGUCGAUGGACAACAGGUUGAAAUUCCUGUACCAUGUAUCAUCAGAACUGUGGGGACACAGAAGGACAACACAUCCCGGGAAUGGGAAUACCGGGGCAAGCGAGGUAGGAGUACGGUUGGCAAAUCCGCCGUGCAAUCCGAAGACGUGACGCGCAGCGAACUAAAGUAGCGAAGUGUGUGAUUCCGGCUGUCAAGAAAAGCCGCUAUUGUGUGAUACAUGCCCGUACCGUAAACCGACACAGGUAGAUGAGGAGAGAAUCCUAAGGCCGGCGGGAGAAGCAUUGUUAAGGAACUCGGCAAAAUGACCCCGUAACUUCGGGAGAAGGGGUGCCACAGAGAUGUGGCCGCAGAGAAUAGGCUCAAGCAACUGUUUAGCAAAAACACAGGUCUAUGCAAAACCGUAAGGUGAGGUAUAUGGGCUGACGCCUGCCCGGUGCUGGAAGGUUAAGAGGAGAGGUUAGAGCAAUCGAAGCUUUGAAUUUAAGCCCCAGUAAACGGCGGCCGUAACUAUAACGGUCCUAAGGUAGCGAAAUUCCUUGUCGGGUAAGUUCCGACCCGCACGAAAGGCGUAAUGAUUUGAGCGCUGUCUCAACAAUGCACCCGGUGAA